AUUGAACGCUGGCGGCAGGCCUAACACAUGCAAGUCGAACGGUAACAGGAAGAAGCUUGCUUCUUUGCUGACGAGUGGCGGACGGGUGAGUAAUGUCUGGGAAACUGCCUGAUGGAGGGGGAUAACUACUGGAAACGGUAGCUAAUACCGCAUAAUGUCGCAAGACCAAAGAGGGGGACCUUCGGGCCUCUUGCCAUCGGAUGUGCCCAGAUGGGAUUAGCUAGUAGGUGGGGUAACGGCUCACCUAGGCGACGAUCCCUAGCUGGUCUGAGAGGAUGACCAGCCACACUGGAACUGAGACACGGUCCAGACUCCUACGGGAGGCAGCAGUGGGGAAUAUUGCACAAUGGGCGCAAGCCUGAUGCAGCUAUGCCGCGUGUAUGAAGAAGGCCUUCCGGUGGUAAAGUACUUUCAGCUGGGAGGAAGGGAGUAAAGUUAAUUACUUUGCUCAUUGACGUUACCAGCAGAAGAAGCCCCGGCUAACUCCGUG
rnacentral:rRNA from 1 species